GACGAACGCUGGCGGCGUGCCUAACACAUGCAAGUCGAACGCGUCUGUGCUUCGGCACAGAUGAGUGGCGAACGGGUGAGUAACGCGUGAGUAACUCCCCUUGGGGAGGGGGAUAACCAUCUGAAAAGGUGGCUAAUACCCCAUAUUCUCUUUCUCAUAAGAGGAAGGAGGAAAGGUGGCGCAAGCUGCCACCCCGAGAGAGGCUCGCGUCCCAUCAGCUAGUUGGUAGGGUAAUGGCCUACCAAGGCUAUGACGGGUAGCUGGUCUGAGAGGAUGGUCAGCCACACUGGGACUGAGACACGGCCCAGACUCCUACGGGAGGCAGCAGUGAGGAAUCUUGGGCAAUGGGCGAAAGCCUGACCCAGCGACGCCGCGUGGAGGAAGAAGGCCUUCGGGUCGUAAACUCCUGUUUGGGGAGAAGAACAAGAGAGAAGUUAAUAGCUUCUCUCCCUGACGGUAUCCCCGGAGAAAGCUCCGGCUAAUUACGUG
rnacentral:rRNA from 1 species